rnacentral:rRNA from 1 species
GUUGAUGAUCGGUGCUUGCACCGAGAUUCAACAUGGAACGAGUGGCGGACGGGUGAGUAACACGUGGGUAACCUGCCCUUAAGUGGGGGAUAACAUUUGGAAACAGAUGCUAAUACCGCAUAGAUCCAAGAACCGCAUGGUUCUUGGCUGAAAGAUGGCGUAAGCUAUCGCUUUUGGAUGGACCCGCGGCGUAUUAGCUAGUUGGUGAGGUAAUGGCUCACCAAGGCGAUGAUACGUAGCCGAACUGAGAGGUUGAUCGGCCACAUUGGGACUGAGACACGGCCCAAACUCCUACGGGAGGCAGCAGUAGGGAAUCUUCCACAAUGGACGCAAGUCUGAUGGAGCAACGCCGCGUGAGUGAAGAAGGCUUUCGGGUCGUAAAACUCUGUUGUUGGAGAAGAAUGGUCGGCAGAGUAACUGUUGCCGGCGUGACGGUAUCCAACCAGAAAGCCACGGCUAACUACGUGCCAGCAGCCGCGGUAAUACGUAGGUGGCAAGCGUUAUCCGGAUUUAUUGGGCGUAAAGCGAGCGCAGGCGGUUUUUUAAGUCUGAUGUGAAAGCCCUCGGCUUAACCGAGGAAGCGCAUCGGAAACUGGGAAACUUGAGUGCAGAAGAGGACAGUGGAACUCCAUGUGUAGCGGUGAAAUGCGUAGAUAUAUGGAAGAACACCAGUGGCGAAGGCGGCUGUCUGGUCUGUAACUGACGCUGAGGCUCGAAAGCAUGGGUAGCGAACAGGAUUAGAUACCCUGGUAGUCCAUGCCGUAAACGAUGAAUGCUAGGUGUUGGAGGGUUUCCGCCCUUCAGUGCCGCAGCUAACGCAUUAAGCAUUCCGCCUGGGGAGUACGACCGCAAGGUUGAAACUCAAAGGAAUUGACGGGGGCCCGCACAAGCGGUGGAGCAUGUGGUUUAAUUCGAAGCAACGCGAAGAACCUUACCAGGU